rnacentral:rRNA from 1 species
CCUACGGGUGGCUGCAGUGGGGAAUAUUGGACAAUGGGGGCAACCCUGAUCCAGCCAUGCCGCGUGUGUGAAGAAGGCCCUCGGGUUGUAAAGCACUUUCAGUGAGGAAGAACGCCUGGUGGUUAAUACCCAUCAGGAAAGACAUCACUCACAGAAGAAGCACCGGCUAACUCCGUGCCAGCAGCCGCGGUAAUACGGAGGGUGCGAGCGUUAAUCGGAAUUACUGGGCGUAAAGCGCGCGUAGGUGGCUUGAUAAGCCGGUUGUGAAAGCCCCGGGCUCAACCUGGGAACGGCAUCCGGAACUGUCAAGCUAGAGUGCAGGAGAGGAAGGUAGAAUUCCCGGGGUAGCGGUGAAAUGCGUAGAGAUCGGGAGGAAUACCAGUGGCGAAGGCGGCCUUCUGGACUGACACUGACACUGAGGUGCGAAAGCGUGGGUAGCAAACAGGAUUAGAUACCCCAGGAGUC